rnacentral:rRNA from 1 species
AGUCGACGGUACAGGAAACAGCUUGCUGUUUCGCUGACGAGUGGCGGACGGGUGAGUAAUGUCUGGGAAACUGCCUGAUGGAGGGGGAUAACUACUGGAAACGGUAGCUAAUACCGCAUAACGUCGCAAGACCAAAGAGGGGGACCUUCGGGCCUCUUGCCAUCAGAUGUGCCCAGAUGGGAUUAGCUAGUAGGUGGGGUAACGGCUCACCUAGGCGACGAUCCCUAGCUGGUCUGAGAGGAUGACCAGCCACACUGGAACUGAGACACGGUCCAGACUCCUACGGGAGGCAGCAGUGGGGAAUAUUGCACAAUGGGCGCAAGCCUGAUGCAGCCAUGCCGCGUGUAUGAAGAAGGCCUUCAGGUUGUAAAGUACUUUCAGCGGGGAGGAAGGGAGUAAAGUUAAUACCUUUGCUCAUUGACGUUACCCGCAGAAGAAGCACCGGCUAACUCCGUGCCAGCAGCCGCGGUAAUACGGAGGGUGCAAGCGUUAAUCGGAAUUACUGGGCGUAAAGCGCACGCAGGCGGUUUGUUAAGUCAGAUGUGAAAUCCCCGGGCUCAACCUGGGAACUGCAUCUGAUACUGGCAAGCUUGAGUCUCGUAGAGGGGGGUAGAAUUCCAGGUGUAGCGGUGAAAUGCGUAGAGAUCUGGAGGAAUACCGGUGGCGAAGGCGGCCCCCUGGACGAAGACUGACGCUCAGGUG